AUAGGAAUUGCCUAGGAAUCUUGUUAAAAUGUAGAUUCUGAUUCAGCAGGCCUGGCCUGGGGCCAAGAUUCUGCAUUUCUAACCAGCUCCCAGGUGAUUAGAAC
rnacentral:pre_miRNA from 13 species